CUCAAAAGACACUUGAGAGGGUAAGAAGCUCUCAUGCUGGGCAAAAGAUGUGAGUUUUCCUCAAGUGUUCCUAAUUUCUCUGGCAGCAAGGAAACACACAGUACACAUCCCUGCUCAGGUAACAACAGGAGCAUGUUUAUUCAGGUCUGGCACUUACAGAGCUCAGAGGGACAAGGUACAUGUCAUUUGUUUUCCAGAAAAAGUCAGCCCGAGUUUGGAAGAAAUUUAUAAAAAGAGACUCCAGCUGCAGGGAUUGGGAAUUUGUCUCCACUGGGGUCAUGCGUUCCCCGUGCCUAGGGGGACAUGUUGGGGCACAUUGGUGCCAGGCACCUCCAGGACCAUUUGAACACUUCAGUGAGCGGUGUCAGGGGACAGUCGCUUCUCGGUGAGUCCCAUCCUUGUUUUAAUCAACCUUAGAAACUGGGGGCACAGGUUAAAAAAAGCAGAAACCCUUCCAAAACAAUCCAGUGGGAUGUGCUAGAGUGCAGUGGGGUACGUCCAAAGGAGGAGGAGUAGGGUUAGGCCCAGCCAAUUAGGUCUCUGAUACUGGAAGAGCGUAAAGUCUGGGAAACAAUCACUGUUGGAAGCCUGCUGAGAAGUAGAAGAUCUCCUUGUAGGCAGCAAAAGAGAAGACAUCAGCUAACGAGACCUGUGAUGGCCAAUGGAAGACAAGGCGCCAUGUUGCAGAGGUGCAGAGGUCCCCUGGCGCAGGGUCUUCCUUGGCCUUCCCCAUCACUCACGAGCCCUGAGGACGUAGACAAAGCUAACCAGGAUCCCCAAGGCCAGGACGGCAUAGCUGGCUUUAACGCUGCUGGAGCCGCUGAUGUUGCAGAGGAAGGAGUCGCAGCAGUAGACGGAGGCAGCCGCAAUGCCGAGGUUAAUCCCAGCACUGGGGCAAACGGGAGAGCAGCCUUUGGAGAUGGACUGGCCAGACUUGCCACCGAUUCCCACUCCGACAUACGUUGUCACACAGUGUUCUUCAUUCUCUGCACACUUGACAGGUGUCAGGCAGGCCCAGUUGGAGGAUGCAUCCGAGCACGAAAAGCAGAUGAGCGUGUGGGCUCUCUCCACGCACAGCACCGCAGCCAACACGGCGAGCAGAAACGCCUUCAUGGUGCGGCGAUGGGGCCCAGAAGAUGCGCAAAGAGACGACAAGCGCGCAAUGCUAGCGAUAGGGCUGAGCGCUGGAGGCGGGAAAAGGGCACCUGCGCCGCCCAGCGGUCCGCCUCCGCGCCCUGCACCGCCCCCCCCCUCCGCCUCCCUGGCAUUCGCUGGUUUCGUUUCCCCGCUCCGU
rnacentral:lncRNA from 1 species